GUGUCAGCAGCCGCGGUAAUACCAGCACCCCGAGUGGUCGGGAUGAUUAUUGGGCCUAAAGCAUCCGUAGCCGGUGUAACAAGUCCUCCGUUAAAUCCACCUGCUUAACAGGUGGGCUGCGGAGGAUACUGUUACACUAGGAGGCGGGAGAGGCGAGGGGUAUUCCACGGGUAGGGGUAAAAUCCUCUGAUCCGUGGAGGACCACCAGUGGCGAAGGCGCCUCGCCAGAACGCGCUCGACGGUGAGGGAUGAAAGCUGGGGGAGCAAACCGGAUUAGAUACCCGGGUAGUCCCAGCCGUAAACGAUGUAGGCUCGGUGAUGGACUGGCUCCGAGCCAGUCCAGUGCCGCAGGGAAGCCGUUAAGCCUACCGCCUGGGGAGUACGGCCGCAAGGCUGAAACUCAAAUGAAUUGACGGGG
rnacentral:rRNA from 1 species